rnacentral:rRNA from 1 species
UACAGAGGUCUCAAGCGUUGUUCGGAUUCAUUGGGCGUAAAGGGUGUGUAGGUGGCGCCGUAAGUCGGGUGUGAAAUUUCGGAGCUUAACUCCGAAACUGCAUUCGAUACUGCGGUGCUUGAGGACUGGAGAGGAGACUGGAAUUCAUGGUGUAGCAGUGAAAUGCGUAGAUAUCGAUGAAGGAAGACCAGUGGCGAAGGCGGGUCUCUGGACAGUUCCUGACGCUGAGGCACGAAGGC